AACCUGCCUUCCAGAGGGGGACAACAGUUGGAAACGACUGCUAAUACCGCAUGACGCAUUGGUGUCGCAUGGCACUGAUGUCAAAGAUUUAUCGCUGGAAGAUGGCCUCGCGUCUGAUUAGCUAGUUGGUGAGGUAACGGCCCACCAAGGCGACGAUCAGUAGCCGGACUGAGAGGUUGGCCGGCCACAUUGGGACUGAGAUACGGCCCAGACUCCUACGGGAGGCAGCAG
rnacentral:rRNA from 1 species